UGAGAGACUGAGAGUAAACAUAAUGGUGCAUUAAGAAAGUGAAUAAAAAAAAAUUUAAAAAAAAAGGAAAGAAAGACUGAGAGGGAGACUGCCAUUUGGCGCCCCCUCACCAGAUGGCGCCCUAGGCAACGGUCUAGGCCGCCUAUGCCGUGGGCCGGCUCUGGUGUGAAGCACGGUGGUGGCAGCAUCAUGAUGUGAAGCACGGUGGUGGCAGCAUCAUGAUGUGAAGCAAGGUGGAGGCAGCAUCAUGGUGUGAAGCACGGUGGUGGCAGCAUCAUGAUGGGAAGCAAGUUAACUCCUUUGUUUUUCUUUUCUAAACAGACAUGGUUUUUGAUAGAUGUAAAAAAGGUGUUGGGACAUCUGAUUGAGGACAAUUGCAACUGGCCGUCUGUCUACCUCAUACUGGCUGCCAACAUGUUUGCUCUGGCAGCUCUGUUCCUGGAGAGAUUUCAAAGAGAAGGUAGGACUUAAUAUUUCUCUUUUAAAUUUAAAAUGUAUUCAUAGCCUGUAAAGUAAAAAUGAAACAUCCUCUCAGGGAAUGCUGUCGGCCUCCAGCGUUCACCGUCUGCAUCUCGUAAAUCUGGGGUUGCUUGUCCUGUUUCCUGCUGCAGUUAUCAUACAUGAACCUACAAUAUCAACAGGUGGCGCCUUCUUCUCUCUCUGGUUCUACACUGUUCUAGGGAUGAAGCUUUACUCGUACCAGGAGACUAAUCUCUGGUACCGUCAGGCUCGUUCAGAUAAAGACCAGAACGGAUCAGUCACACAGCCAGACCACAGUGAAAAUCAGACACUCCGAGAUCUGUAUUAUUUCCUCCUCGCUCCCACGCUGUGCUACCAGAGAAGCUUCCCGACGACUCCAAGAUCCGGAUCAAUAAGCUGCUGCACAGGUUGCUGGAAAUGGUGGUCAUUGUCCAGAUCAUGGUUGGCAUUGUGCAGCAGUGGAUUGAACCCAUCUUCCAGAGAUCAGAAAACUCAUUCUGUAGUAUGGACAUCGCUAUGAGGGUGGAACACCUGGUCGGGCU